rnacentral:rRNA from 1 species
UACGAAGGGUGUAGCGUUAAUCGGAAUUACUGGGCGUAAAGCGUGCGCAGGCGGUUUUGUAAGUCUGACGUGAAAUCCCCGGGCUUAACCUGGGAACUGCAUUUGUGACUGCAUCGCUGGAGUGCGGCAGAGGGGGAUGGAAUUCCGCGUGUAGCAGUGAAAUGCGUAGAUAUGCGGAGGAACACCGAUGGCGAAGGCAAUCCCCUGGGCCUGCACUGACGCUCAUGCACGAAAGCGUGGGGAGCAAACAGG